GCGAUGCCGCGUGAAGGAAGACGGCCCUAUGGGUUGUAAACUUCUUUUAUACAGGAAGAAACCUUUCCACGUGUGGAAAGCUGACGGUACUGUAAGAAUAAGGAUCGGCUAACUCCGUGCCAGCAGCCGCGGUAAUACGGAGGAUCCAAGCGUUAUCCGGAAUUAUUGGGUUUAAAGGGUCCGCAGGCUGUUUGUUAAGUCAGGGGUGAAAUCCUACCGCUCAACGGUAGAACUGCCUUUGAUACUGGCAAACUUGAGUUAUUGUGAAGUAGUUAGAAUGUGUAGUGUAGCGGUGAAAUGCAUAGAUAUUACACAGAAUACCGAUUGCGAAAGCAGAUUACUAACAAUAUACUGACGCUGAGGGACGAAAGCGUGGGUAGCGAACAGGAUUAGAUACCCUGGUAGUCCACGCCGUAAACGAUGGUCACUAGCUGUUCGAUGUACAUUGGUACAUUGAGUGGCUAAGCGAAAGUGAUAAGUGACCCACCUGGGGAGUACGCUCGCAAGAGUGAAACUCAAAGGAAUUGACGGGGGCCCGCACAAGCGGUGGAGCAUGUGGUUUAAUUCGAUGAUACGCGAGGAACCUUACCAGGACUUAAAUGUAAGUUGCAUGAUUCAGAAAUGGAUCUUUCUUCGGACUACUUACAAGGUGCUGCAUGGUUGUCGUCAGCUCGUGCCGUGAGGUGUCAGGUUAAGUCCUAUAACGAGCGCAACCCCUAUCGUUAGUUGCCACCAAGUAAAGUUGGGAACUCUAGCGAAACUGCCGGUGCAAACCGUGAGGAAGGUGGGGAUGACGUCAAAUCAUCACGGCCCUUACGUUCUGGGCUACACACGUGCUACAAUGGCCGGUACAGAAAGCAGCCACUAUGCGAAUAGGAGCUAAUCUUCAAAGCCGGUCUCAGUUCGGAUCGCAGUCUGCAACUCGACUGCGUGAAGCUGGAAUCGCUAGUAAUCGGAUAUCAGCCAUGAUCCGGUGAAUACGUUCCCGGGCCUUGUACACACCGCCCGUCAAGCCAUGGAAGCUGGGGGUACCUAAAGUCGGUGACCGAAAGGAGCCGCCUAGGGUGAAACUAGUAACUGGGGCUAAGUCGUAACAAGGUAGCCGUACCGGAAGGUGCGGCUGGAAUACCUCCUUUCU
rnacentral:rRNA from 1 species